rnacentral:snRNA from 1 species
AUCGCUUCUCGGCCUUUUGGCUAAGAUCAAAGUGUAGUAUCUGUUCUUAUCAGCUUAAUAUCUGAUACGUCCUCCAUUGGGGGGACAUCGAUAUUAAACUGAUUUUUGAAAGGGGGUGAGGUGCCCGGGGCUUGCUCCGCCCUCACCACGGGUUGACCCGGUAUUGCAGUACUUCCGGGAAUGGCCCACCACUA